UACGUAGGGGGCGAGCGUUGUCCGGAAUUAUUGGGCGUAAAGAGCUCGUAGGCGGUCCGUUAAGUCUGAUGUGAAAUCUCAGGGCUCAACCCUGAGACUGCAUCCGAAACUGCCUUGCUCGAGUAUGGGAGAGGGAAGUGGAAUUUCCGGUGUAGCGGUGAAAUGCGUAGAUAUCGGAAGGAACAUCAGUGGCGAAGGCGACUUCCUGGACCAAUACUGACGCUCAGGUGCGAAAGCGUGGGGAGCAAACAGG
rnacentral:rRNA from 1 species